rnacentral:rRNA from 1 species
UACGUAGGGUGCAAGCGUUUAAUCGGAAUUACUGGGCGUAAAGCGUGCGCAGGCGGUGAUGUAAGACAGAUGUGAAAUCCCCGGGCUCAACCUGGGAACUGCAUUUGUGACUGCAUCGCUGGAGUACGGCAGAGGGGGAUGGAAUUCCGCGUGUAGCAGUGAAAUGCGUAGAGAUGUGGAGGAACACCGAUGGCGAAGGCAGCCCCCUGGGCCAAUACUGACGCUCAUGCACGAAAGCGUGGGGAGCAAACAGG